AUCAAGUUGGUAAACAAAGCCAACAAAAGCUUUUAUUCUAGUUCAUUAUUUAGUUUCCAAUUACAGCAGAAUACUGCCUCUAUUCCAUUACUUGAGACAGAUUAUCGGACUUCUAUAGCUAUGUUCUACUCAGCUUCUCUCAAGUUAUAUUCUACAGCUCAAAGAUGUAACACGAACUUAAUUCUCACAAUCCAUAGCGUUACAUAGACCAGGCUAAUCUAGAAUAUGGUGAUCUUGCCUCACGAAGCCUUCUUUCUUCUGAUAAUAGCUUAGCAAACCUGCAAACAUGGAAGUUAGAAUACUUCAAAACUGAUGAUGAUUUUAUGGAAUAAGCAUGUUAAUACUAAUUUGUGUAGUCACCUUAUAAGAGCUUCUUCAUUUGUUCCUUCUCCCUUGCCU
rnacentral:lncRNA from 1 species